rnacentral:rRNA from 1 species
AAAGAAACCAACAGGGAUUGCCCUAGUAACGGCGAGUGAAGCGGCAACAGCUCAAAUUUGAAAUCUGGCCUCGGCCCGAGUUGUAAUUUGCAGAGGAAGCUUUAGGCGCGGCACCUUCUGAGUCCCCUGGAACGGGGCGCCAUAGAGGGUGAGAGCCCCGUAUAGUUGGAUGCCUAGCCUGUGUAAAGCUCCUUCGACGAGUCGAGUAGUUUGGGAAUGCUGCUCAAAAUGGGAGGUAAAUUUCUUCUAAAGCUAAAUACCGGCCAGAGACCGAUAGCGCACAAGUAGAGUGAUCGAAAGAUGAAAAGCACUUUGAAAAGAGGGUUAAACAGCACGUGAAAUUGUUGAAAGGGAAGCGCUUGUGACCAGACUUGCGCCAGGCCGAUCAUCCGGUGUUCUCACCGGUGCACUCGGCCCGGCACAGGCCAGCAUCGGUUCUCGCGGGGGGACAAAGGUCCCGGGAACGUAGCUCCUCCGGGAGUGUUAUAGCCCGGGGCGUAAUGCCCUCGCGGGGACCGAGGUUCGCGCAUCUGCAAGGAUGCUGGCGUA